ensembl:lncRNA
GUCCUAUAUAAAGCACAGCUCAAAGCCGCUCUCUUCACAACACUGCCUGUGUGAUGAGUUCUCACUGAUUGGCACUCAAGUUAAUAGAUACAUUGUUCAGCACUCUUCCAUGUGGUGUUUGUCUGCAAUAUUGUGAUUUUACUCUUCAGUGGGGUCCUGAACAUAAUUUUAUGUGACAGACUGAGGAGAAGAAAAUGUGAACUGUGUGCAGCACAUCACAGGAGGCUUCACCUGGCUGUCCCUCCUCAACAAAACUCUGUGUCUGAUGAUCAAGAGAGUGAGGUGAACUAUACCAUGCUGCAAUUCCCUGAAGACAACACAAAAACAGAGAGCUCAGAGAAGAGCAGAAAUGACACUGUCUAUUCCAGUCUUAAAUGCCAAAUCUCAAACAUCACUGAGGAAAACUAAAUCAGGAUUUUCAGUCUGUGGGUUUCCAAAUCUUCUCUUCUCUAUCCAGAGCUCCACAGUGCAGAUUUCCAGCAGGACACUGGAUCUCUCCCUCCGCAGACCAGGAUCAUCACCACUGACCCAGAACCAAUGACCAGCCAUAAAGCGCAGAUCAGUCCACACAUAAACUGUCUGGGAUGUUAUAGUAUAAUUUAUCACCUCUUCCAUAAUUGUCUCAGAACUUAGACUUGCCAGAUCAGUGUACUCUUUUCUGCAAUAGUCCAGGGCUUCAUCCCACGUCUUAUUCUGAUGAACCAAAACUGGGCUGAAGACCUUCAUACAGUAAAAAGAUAGAGUCUCAGAGCAUGGAAUGUUGUGCAGUUUAGAAGUGGAUAUUUUUAACCUGCCACAAUUUUCAGAAUAAUCAUCUGGUUGUUCGCUAUCCCAGUUGUCAAUUGGUUGCCUCUCACCUCCAGACCAAAUCCAUUUUUCUGGGUUGUUAGAACUUCUGUAUAGUCCAGCCCAUUUAAAAUGAUACACAGAAUCUGUAUAAACGCAAAACUUUUCUGCCUCUCCUUUAUUGAUGGUGGAAAGGUCGUCGUAGUAUUUUCUGCAGUAUUUCUGUUCAUCAUUCAGUCAUUUUUUUCCCCACAAAAUAAUGGAUUCUAUAGGCACUGAGGUACAGUCCAAAAAGACUCAAAAGUAAGAACACAUUGACUGCAGCCUUCAUUUCUGUAUGGACGAUUUACACAGUAAUGCCUAAGUGUGCACUCAACUACGAUGAUAUUAUGGCAUCUCUUAAAGAUUUUUAAUAAGAGACCAAUAAAAAAGCUGUAAGGGAACUGGCCAAUCAGAAGGUCUCACCCUUGAAGUAUUUGUGUAGCAAAUGUUUAAAUAAAUCAUGCAUCAUUGCAAAUAUUUUGAUAGUAAAGAAAACAGGUCAUGCACGUCAGACAAAGUAAAAAAAUAAAAUAAAAUAAAUAAUAAAAAAGCAAAGUUAAGUUAAGAGCACAACAUUCUGAUUUGACAUAAUAAUCAAUGAAACAAAUAAACAAAUAAAUAAAUAAAUAUAUUAUUAUGUAAUAUUUUCUAAGAAUGGGAAUUGUAGGGAAUUUAAUAGUUACAAUUCUGGUUCAUUGGUGGUUCCAUUAACACUUGUUUUACAUGGUAAAGAAAGAAAUACAUUUAGAAUAAAGCAAUGAAAUUAUUAUUACAUUGACAGUCCUCAGCAGUUUUUUUUUUUUUUUUUUUUAGAAAUAAAUGCAGUUGUUUCAAAAAGUGUUUACAUAGACUUUUAAUGACUUGACAACAGUUCUCGGUUCAUUUCGGACAUGACUCUGGAUUCACUAAAAAGAACCGGCUCAUGAGUUGCUCGUUCGGGAAUUUGAAGACCUACACAGUGUUGCCAAGUCCGCGUUUUUUUUUUUUCUUGUAAAAACCUGGCAACCCUGGCCCUACGUAUUUGAUUUAGAUACGAGUUAUUUGUUUGGGGAAAAGAAUCGGUUCAUGAGUCUUUCGUUUCCAAUGUUUGUGUUUCCCUCUGUAGAAUCAGACACGUUGUCAAUAAUUUAGUACGGUUUCCG